rnacentral:rRNA from 1 species
AUUGAACGCUGGCGGCAUGCCUUACACAUGCAAGCCGAACGGUAACAGGUCUUCGGAUGCUGACGAGUGGCGAACGGGUGAGUAAUACAUCGGAACGUGCCUAGUAGUGGGGGAUAACUACUCGAAAGAGUGGCUAAUACCGCAUGAGAUCUACGGAUGAAAGCAGGGGAUCGCAAGACCUUGUGCUACUAGAGCGGCCGAUGGCAGAUUAGGUAGUUGGUGGGAUAGAAGCUUACCAAGCCGACGAUCUGUAGCUGGUCUGAGAGGACGAUCAGCCACACUGGGACUGAGACACGGCCCAGACUCCUACGGGAGGCAGCAGUGGGGAAUUUUGGACAAUGGGCGCAAGCCUGAUCCAGCAAUGCCGCGUGCAGGAUGAAGGCCUUCGGGUUGUAAACUGCUUUUGUACGGAACGAAAAGCCCUGGGUUAAUACCCUGGGGUCAUGACGGUACCGUAAGAAUAAGCACCGGCUAACUACGUGCCAGCCGCCGCAGUAAAAC